ACUGGUUUCGACGGGGGAAGGAUUGGCAGGGAUAGCGAGCCGGGGUUCCAUCAGCCCGUAAUACGGUGGGCCUUUAAUUAAACGCCAAAGAAAACUACGCUUUAGCUGCUUAAUUGCGGCUAACCUCCUACCCGUUGCUCCCGCGGUGCGGGACUAGGGGGUCAACUUAGCGGGAUACUCCGGUCCCAAUUCUCGGAGGGGCCAGGGGGAAACCCAUCGAGAUAGUUCCGGCAUAGCCUGCCUGCGGGCGCUGCCGUAGCGAAACCCAAAACACAGGCUGCGCUCGGAGAGGUUCCUGUGGGUUCUCCUUCGGACAGGGGUUCGAUCCUU
rnacentral:tmRNA from 1 species